rnacentral:rRNA from 1 species
AUUGAACGCUGGCGGCGUGCUUAACACAUGCAAGUCGAGCGGUAACAGGCGUAGCAAUACGUGCUGACGAGCGGCGAACGGGUGCGUAAUACAUGGGAAUCUGCCCUUUGGUGGGGAAUAACCCGGCGAAAGCCGGGCUAAUGCCGCAUAAGAUCUUCGGAUGAAAGCGGGGGAUCGUAAGACCUCGCGCCGAUGGAUGAGCCCAUGUCGGAUUAGCUAGUUGGUGAGGUAACGGCUCACCAAGGCGACGAUCCGUAGCUGGUCUGAGAGGACGGCCAGCCACACUGGGACUGAGACACGGCCCAGACUCCUACGGGAGGCAGCAGUGGGGAAUAUUGGACAAUGGGCGAAAGCCUGAUCCGGCGACGCCGCGUGUGUGGAGAAGGCCUGCGGGUUGUAAAGCCCUGUCACCUGGGAAGAAUGACGGGGGGUGAAUAGCCUCUCGUUUGACGCUACCAGGAGAGGAAGCACCGGCUAAAUACGUGCCAGCAGCCGCCGUAACAC